ACUACGGGAGGAUGCAGUGGGGGAUAUUGCACAAUGGGGGAAACCCUGAUGCAGCGACGCCGCGUGAGUGAAGAAGGAUUUCGGUAUGUAAAGCUCUAUCAGCAGGGACGAAAAAAGACGGUACCGGACGAAGAAGCCCCGGCUAACUACGUGCCAGCAGCCGCGGUAAUACGUAGGGGGCAAGCGUUCUCCGGAUUUACUGGGGGGAAAGGGAGCGUCGACGGCAAGGCAAGCCAGAAGUGAAAGGGCAGGGCUCAACCCUGUACAGUCUUUUGGAACUGUGGUGCUAGAGUGCAGGAGGGGUAAGUGGACUUCCUAGUGUCGCGGUGAACUGCGUAGAUAUUAGGCGGACCACCAGUGGCGACGGCGGCUUACUGGACUGUACCUGCCGUUGAGGCUCGACCGCGUGGGGAGCACACCGGAUUAGAUACCCGGGUAGUC
rnacentral:rRNA from 1 species